UAUGAGCAUCAAGGUGGAGUCACAGACUCAGGCCUUCAUAUUUGCAUUGCUGUGGUUGUCAGGUGUUGAUGGAGACAUUGUAAUGACCCAGUCUUACAAAUCCAUAUCCACAUUGGUAGGAGAAAGAGUCACCUUGAACUGCAAGGCCAGUCAGAAUGUGUAUAAUUCUGUAGCCUGGUAUGAACAAAAGCCUGGUCAUUCUCCUAAACUGCUUAUCUCUGGAGCAUCCAACCGGUUUACUGGGGUCCCUGAUAGCUUCACAGGCAGUGGAUAUGGGGCAGAUUUCACUCUGACAAUCAGCAGUGUGCAGGCCGAAGACCUGGCAGUUUACUAUUGUCAGCAGUACAGCAGCUCUCCUCCCACAGUGCUUCAGCCUCUUACACAAACCUCUUCUGAGAUUCUAAUCAGCUGCCAGUACCUCACAUCCCCUUCUGCCUACAGGUGCUAUGCCUAA